CUUGGUCCUGUUUGGAGUUAGAAAGAGGAUCGGCCCCUAGAGAUGUCACUGCUUGCAGAACAGCGGCCCCUGGUGGACUGCAGGUGAAGUCCGAGAGCGCAACAGCACAAACGUUUGCCACACCAUCUUGUUUGAGAAAGGUACUUAGGACAACAGAUUUUACCACUCUGAGGGCAGAAGUGAGCAAAAAUUGUCCCAGUCCUUGGGAACCCUGGGAAUUCUUCUAGAGCUGUGCUCUUGCCUUCUCAAUGGCUGGUCAAGACCCCGAAUUCUCCAUUACGAUACACAAUAUGCAUUUUUUCACUCUGUCAGAGUUUCUGAAAUCAUGAUGAGCCUUACAACAGAUGCCAGUUCCUGUCCUUGCACUUUCUGUUGACCAGGCAGCAAUCAGGACAUAGUUGUCAUUGCCUGACACCUUCUGGUGAGAAGAAGAAGGCACCAGAUAAAACUUGAAGAAUGGAUGUUGCAAAGUGGAUGAAAAUCCUGAAGGCAGUGGAGGGCAGUCUUGAAGAAAUACACCUUCCUCCAGGGUUGAGAAACAACUUGAGAAGGAAGCAGAGAAAGAAAGAUUCUGAACCUCAAAAGGGAUGUGGAAUUACGUACCUCAAAAGGAUGUGGAAUUAUGAUUAGUUCUGCAUUUAGCAGUGUCUCUAGGUUCCCUAUGAUCUGAGCAGAUGUGGGCAUGUGCCACUAUCAACAUGGACACGAUCUACAUGCAAUGGACCUUCUUCAAUCUGGGAAUUCAACUUCUUUUGGUUUAAACUCUCCAUCCUUUAUGGGCCUGGGGUAAUGUGGCGUCUCUUUUACUGAACGACAAAGAUGACACUGGGAGACCCUGAAUGAAGCACAGGACCCUUUUUCUCACCGAUGAUCACUACUAAUAACAUGAUUGCAGAUUUUUCUGGUUUGCACAUCUAUUACUCUUCUUUCAUUUCUCUAAUUUCUGCAACAUCAAAAUUUAAUUAAGACAGACUUGUCCAGUUCAACCUGAUGUAAUUAAUGAAACAUUUUGUUGCACCAAUAUUUAUAACAGAAAUGCUAGUUAAAUUUGAAAAUAAAUCAUGACAUAUA